AUGGCGGAGCCGGGCCCCGAGGAGGAGGAGCUGGCGCACGCCGAGGUGCUCGAGCUGUUCCAGGAGGGGCUGGCCCGCCUCGUGCAGGACCCGCUGCUCUGCGACCUCCCCGUGCAGGUCACCGUGGAGGAAAUCAAUUCUCAGAUUGCGCUGGAGUAUGGCCAAGCCAUGACUGUGCGAGUGUGCAAGGCGGAUGAAGAAGUUAUGCCUGUAGUAGUGGUACAGAAUGCCAGUGUCCUGGACCUGAAGAAAGCUAUCCAGCGAUAUGUGCAGCUGAAGCAGGAGCGGGAAGGGGGCAUACAGCACAUUAGCUGGACCUACAUAUGGAGAACAUAUCACUUAACCUUUGCUGGAGAGAAAAUGACAGAUGACAAAAAGAAGCUGCGAGAGUACGGCAUCAGAAAUCGUGAUGAGGUCUGCUUUAUAAAGAAACUUCAGAAGUGAACUUACAGCUCCAGUUUUUCUGCCUGAAAAGGACUAACUCCAGGUUGUUACUGCAGCAGGACCAGCCUGCAGAUUCAGCAUCUUUCCAGAAGAGAAACUUGUGGCAUUUCAAAGAGCAAAUGCAGGCGGCAAUAAAAAUUCUGAUAGCAACUGAAUCACUACCCAAUCAACAUUUUGGAAGAAUUCUCUGAAGGUUCUCACCCAGCUGUGCCACCUUGCUAGAAAACCUCUGAAGUCCAGGAUAUCUAUGGUAGCAUUCUCUGAAGUGAUUCCAGUUCCACGCACAGGGCCAGAUAGAACUGCAGAGGCUCAGUGUGCAGAUGAGCCCCUAGUGUAGGGAGGAGGGUUUAGAUUUAUUAGGAACUGGGGAACCUUUGGGGAAAGGAGAAGCCUAUACAAGAAGGAUGGGCUCCAACAAAACCACAAUGGAACCAGACUGCUGGUAUGUAAAAUUAAAAAGGUUGUAGAGGAGUUGUUAAACUGAGGGCUAGCCAACAGGUUCAGAGAGAGACAUCCCUUAGGGGAGGAACUGUUAACAGGGAUGCUCUAUAGCAGUGGCCCCCAAACUUUUCAGGGUCAUACCCCUUCUUUACCUCUGUUCCCCCUGAGCUGCGGGGACGGAGCCCUGGGCACAGGGCUGGCAGCUGGGU